ACAUAUAGCUGGCGCAGUACAUAGUGAAAUGAAACAACGUUUCUCCAGGACCUGGUGAGGCUCACCCAUUGCCCUCUGGUUGUGUUGACCCGUGCGAAUUCCCCAAAUGUGGGAAUCUCGACUGCAUAAUUUCUGGUAGUGGGGGACUGUGUUCGCGCUCUCCCCUG